UAUUGAGGGUAUUGCCUCAGUUACGGCGAGUGAAGCGGCAAAAGCUCAAAUUUGAAAUCUGGCACUUUCAGUGUCCGAGUUGUAAUUUGUAGAAGUAGUUUUGGGACUGGUCCUUAUCUAUGUUUCUUGGAACAGGACGUCAUAGAGGGUGAGAACCCCGUAUGAUGAGGCCCCCAGUCCUUUGUAAAACGCUUUCGAAGAGUCGAGUUGUUUGGGAAUGCAGCUCUAAGUGGGUGGUAAAUUCCAUCUAAAGCUAAAUAUUGGCGAGAGACCGAUAGCGAACAAGUACAGUGAUGGAAAGAUGAAAAGAACUUUGAAAAGAGAGUGAAAAAGUACGUGAAAUUGUUGAAAGGGAAGGGCAUUUGAUCAGACAUGGUGUUUUGCGCCCUUUGCUCCUUGUGGGCGGAGGAUACGCAGCUCACUGGGCCAACAUCAGUUUUGGGAGCAGGAUAAAUCUGUAGGAACGUAGCUUUCUUCGGGAAGUGUUAUAGCCUAUGGGAAUACUGCUACCUGGGACUGAGGACUGCGUCUUUUGACAAGGAUGUUGGCAUAAUGGUUAAAUGCCGCCCGUCUUG
rnacentral:rRNA from 1 species